ensembl:lncRNA
UUCUGUAUUGAUCAAAUAAUUUUAUUGUAAGUAAGUAGACAUUUAGAUAUUUCUUGUGCUCUGUGGUGGUCUAAUGGUCCCUGUGCUGCCCCAGGAACAUACAGCUCCGGAAAGAAUUGAGAGACCACUGCAACUUUUUCUUUCCUUUCCGAAAAAGUUGAAAAGGAAAUUUCUGAGUGAAGAACAGAAGCGUUAAAUUUGCAGUGGUCUCUUAAUUUUAACCCUUCUGUUCCUCACUCAAAACCUUCCUCUUUGCCUUUUUUGGAAAGGAAAGAAAAGGGUGCAGUGGUCUCUUAAUUAUUUCCGGCGCUGUAUGUAGUCUGUACAGGUAUAAUACAAAAUAAAGUAAUCAGUAAAGAAUAAAAGCAUAAUUUUGGGGUGGCAUUAGCAUUAUAUGCAAACAUAAAGUGGUUUGGGAAUAUGCUCUGGUGGCUAUAGGACAGCAUUCUCAAUGUAUGAAUGAUGGCCCACGUUAAUCUUGGUGUACAUUCAGACAUUGACUUCUACGGUAUAUGGAACAGUUCAGUGUGUGCUGUUGCCUGAAUGGAUCCUGAGAAGGAGCAAAAACAAAAUAGCAACAUAUAAUUGCUGUAUCUGAAAGCUGGGUUUCUGCCUUACUGAGCAAAACAUAUAUCACACAACUUUAACUUAAUAUACUUAAAUAUAAUAAUAAACUUCAUAGGCUUGCGUCAUUUGACUGGGCUGAAAAUGUGGGACAUGAUACUUUGUCACCCCUGUCUUUACUUGGGAUUUGGCUCAAGACUCAAAGAUUUAGUCCUAAAUAACAUUACUCCAUUUGGAUGCCACUACUGUGUAUUUUGACCUCAUAUUCUAGAAGAGGUAAAGGAGCUCAAGUAAGAGAACAUCUGAUGCAGGACUUUUCCUGGAAUACAGGCAGGUGCACCAGCAAGGCUGGUCCCCCAACACAUAUCACAUCUUCGUUCAAACCAUGCAUUCAUGUCAGCUCCAGCACACGUCUUCUUUCAAGAACGUCCUUGCAGUUUGGCC